rnacentral:rRNA from 1 species
UACGUAGGGUGCAGGCGUUAAUCGGAAUUACUGGGCGUAAAGCGUGCGCAGGCGGUCUUUUAAGUCAGAUGUGAAAUCCCCGGGCUUAACCUGGGAACUGCGUUUGAAACUGAAAGGCUAGAGUGUGGCAGAGGGGGGUGGAAUUCCACGUGUAGCGGUGAAAUGCGUAGAUAUCUGGAGGAACACCGGUGGCGAAGGCGGCAUCCUGGACCGACACUGACGCUGAGGCGCGAAAGCCAGGGGAGCGAACGGG